rnacentral:lncRNA from 1 species
ACCCUAAUUCUAUCUCAUGAACUGGACCGGCCCCUUGUCUGAUUAUUUUUUACCACCCAUCUCUCGACUGUUCAAAAUUCACCUCCCCUUAUCACCCCGGUGUAAUGAUGCUUCUGUCCUCACCCUUUGGACCUGUUAAACACCUGGCAUCUCUGUGACUCAUUCAGAAACUAAAGUUUAUUGCUUUGCCUCCAGGGUGACAGUAAAAACAUUUGACAACCUGCACUUCAUGGUCACUGACCCGUCACAACGGACAGGGCAGUGAUGGACAGAGUCCUGGAGGGACCUGUAGUGCAGAGCAUUCCUGCUUCUAAGGCUGGUACCAAGAGUCUGGGAAAGGUCUGGAGCCCAGAGGAGGAGCCAGGAACAUGGGAGCAAGGGGGCAAGGGGAGGGACUCUCAGGAGACUGGAGGUAGUUCAUGGGGAAGGACAUCCAUAAUUUAGCAACCAGUAUGACAGUAACUAUUUAAACACACCUAAGUUCCCUUGAUGUCAUUUUCUUAUGGCCGUUUGUUCUUUCUUCCCAUUCGCAGUGGAAAUUCCUUGGGGUCUAAAAUUACGCCUUAAACUUCUUGUUAUCCCAUAAGACCCAGCCCAUAGUCAUUCUCAGGGUAAGGAUGGUUUUUCUGCAUCCUGUGAUUCAGGUGACACCAGGUUGGGGAAAACCCUUGGUGCUCAGAAAUGGACAGUAUCUGACUUAGAAAACUGAACCUUAAGGUUGACCUUUCUGUGCUCAACAUCAGUAAGAAUUAAUUUCUUAUUCUCUGGGAGAUCUGGGUCCUCGGGGGACCAACCAUCUGACGGACUCAUCAUUUCAGAACCUCUGGAAGGAUGCUUUUUCAGUGCCGGUUAGGGCCUGGGAAGACCUUUUUUGGAAACUCAGGUGGAAAGGUCAGUUGCCCGUGCCUGGAAGUAACUAUCACACAUUCCACUCCCUCUUUCCCCGCCUGUGGUGGCGGUGACAGUGUCAGGGAGGAAGGUGGGACUCAUGAACCUGCCAGGCAGUGUGGAGACCACGGAUGCGUCCUUUAUAUGUGAUGUGGUUGUUGGGAGUAGUGGAAAGAGGCAUGUCUGCGCUGGCUUCGGGCAUCCUGUGGGCUCCUCUGGAGCUGGCCUGGAGAUCCUGCCAGUUUGUAGAAUGUGGCUUUCUUCGUUGCCCCAUGUUUAGAAGGAAGAAGCUGGACUACGUUUCCGUUAUCCCGCUCCUGUGUGACCAACCACCGCAAAAGGCGGGAGCGCACGCCAACAUGCAUUUGGUCACAGUUCUGCAGCUGAGCUGGGAUUGGCUGGGUGGUCCUUCUGGGGGUCUCACUGGUGUUUGCCCCCGUGGAGGCAGCCUUUCAGAUGCAAUCCACGAUGGCUCCGCUCACAGGCCUGGCGGUUCGCCAGGGCUGUCAGCCAGGAUGCUUCAGUUUUCCGUCAUGUGGUCUUUCCAGCAGGGUAUCCUGGGUUUCUAGCCCAGUGCAGCAGUGUUCUGAACAGAGAAUGCCCCAAUCCCUAGCCACAGAUGAAACUUUUUCCUGCACUGUGUUUGUGGAUGUCCCAUGGACCAAAGCAAGAGCCGUGACUAAGCCCAGAGUCACCGUGGGAGGUGACCUCAUGAGGUGUGCCUCAUGGAAUCACAAUCCACCACAGACCACGUGACCUCUAAGGUCCUCCCAGCUCCAGCAUUCUUCAUUUGCUUGGGGAUGUGUGCUCCCAUUUUUAAAUAGCAAAUUUAGAGACACCCCUCUGGAACACAGACAGCCUGCAAAUUCCCUAGUAUCCCCAAGAGGACAAAAUGGGAAGGACCUUUCCCCUGUGACACACAGCCCCUUCGUACAUAUUGGCGCUUUAAACUUUUAUUUAUUUAUAAUUUUUCUGCAUAUUUCUUCUCUUUUCAUUGAUUCAUCACAAAAUGCAUAUGUAUUAAUCCAACUAGGCUACCGCUCUUCCAGGACUGUACAGCCAUUGGCUAUAAUGAUAUCGUAGUAUAAAUGGCUGAAAGACUUGGCAUUAGUCAAUCGCACUGACCUUGAUUCCCCCCCCCUUUUUUUUUCAUAUUUUCACCCUUUAAGAUUGCACUAUACAUCCAUUUUAGUUAGAGGGCAACUGUGCAAAACUGUAAGGAAGAGAAAAAUUAAAGAAUGAAAUCUGGGAGUUCCCUGGUGGUCCAGAAGGUUAAGGAUCCAUGUUGUCAGUGCUGUGUCAUGGGUCGCUGCGGUGGCGUGGGUCGACCCCUGGCCCAGGGAAUUUUGCAUGUUGUGGGCACAGUCAAAAAAAUUUUUUGUUUUAAGAAGGAAGGAAAUUUGAACCUGAGUGUUUAGGAAAGGUUUGCACAUAAAUCAGUUCCCAAAAUGCAUUAAUAAAAUCUUAUGGAAAUUACAAAAAAAAAAAACCAUGUUUUUAAAAAAUAAAACCAUAUAAGCACGGGGAAAUAGGAAAAGGUACACGGAAAUAGCAAGUAGAUGCAAUGAGAUGAGGGUGUCUCAAACCCAGCACUGCGGACGCUUUGGACUGGAUGAUUCUUUGUGGCGGGGACUGUCUUCCACCUUGCAGGGUGUUUAUCAGCACCCUGGCCUUUACCAGCUAGGGACGCUGCCUGUCACUUGUGUAAAUAUCCUCAAACAUCGUUAAAUGCGCCUUGGGGGCAGUGGGCAAUUGUCCUGAGCUGAGAGCCAUUUGAUUAAGUGGGCUGGGAGAACGGGAGCCCAAAACAAACACAAGGAGAGGCUGCUUCAGAUGUAAGAAAGAGCCUUUCAGCUACAGCAGGAGCAGGAAUGGGCUGUGCAGGUGACACACAGGGUGAAUAGUGCACAAAGGCCUGGCUGUAGAAGAGCUGGGACAGUCACAGCCUUCCCCCUCCUCUGGCCCACAGAGAUGGCUAGCCUCAAGGAGGGUGCUUCCAUUUUUUCAUAUCAAAUUUAGAGCUCCCAGAGCUAUAAUUUUUAUAAGAUCUGGGAGGGAGAUCGUUAAGCUGAGAUGCUGAGGUUGGAGAGAGAAGCAGAGAUUCAAAUAUCUACAACAGCCAGGAAAGGAGAAAAAGAGAAAGGCGCACAAAGCCAUCUCUUCUUGGGGUUGAUGAAGGCUCUGGGUUUUGUACCAGCUCCCUAUCAAAUAUGCUUCACCAAAGCCCUCCGAUCCAGGGGAAAGGCUUGUUGAGGAAGGGGAGGUUAAAUAAUUGCAGAGCAAAUGCAGCCCAACUAUGGAUCCUGUUACAGUCACUGAUUUGUCCAUGAGAAGAAUGAUCAACAGGAUUAUGAGACAUUUGAUAAGGUCAGUCUGUACAAAAGGGGAAAAGAUAAACAAAAAUCAGUGGGCAUACAGAGUGUUUCACUUUAAUAAUAAAUAGGUGACUACACAUUGAAACAGAGGGAAAAAUAAAACAGCUCAUUUUUACCUAUUAGGCAAAAAAAUUAAAAGAAUCAUCACGUGCAGUGUUGGUAAAGCUCUGAAAAAACAAGGCAUUCUCAUGUACCUUCAGUGAGAGGACAAAACUCUUUAGGAAAUUCAUUUGGGAAAACCCAUCAAAAUGAAAAGUACACAAACACUCUGACCCAGAAAUUCUUCUUCUAGAAACUGUCCUGCAGACAUAGUCACGUAUGCACGCAAACAUAUGUGUGCAAGGAUGUUCAUGGAAACGCUCCAUGUCAUACCAGAAAGAUACUAAAUUGAGGAGCAGCUGAUGCAGUGAUGAAUAUUACGCUGCCCGUUAGUAGGCUGGAACAUCUGAAUGUACCGAUAGGAAGAAGGUGUCAGUUACUAAGUGAGAAGAAGGGAGCUCAGAACCACACGUGUAUCAUGAUGCCCCUCAUGUACCCAAAUCUCUGCGUGUUCGCCUGUCCACUGCGUGUAUACACAGGGUGUGCAGAGAUGCAGCACGGGGCUGGCAGGGCGGGCCGUUUUUGUAAGGGGCAUAGGAUACCUCUGUAAGCUUAGACACCACCUCUGCAGAGGAAGGUAGACACGGAAUGUUUACGGCUUUCAUGAAGAUCCUGUCCACUCGUUGAUCUGAGGCCGUGGAACGGACGUGCCAGUUCGAAUCAAGGCGGCCAGUGUUCUGAUUCCUAAUGCCGUGCUCAUCCCAUUCAUCCUGCCCCUUUUAAAUUUCUAAGGAUUUUAUUGUUUAUUUUAAGCCAUUUAUCACAGCUAUUAUCUUAAUUGUCAUUUUGCUUAACAACCACUGGGGCUUAGGCUGUAUUUAUCUAAUAUAUUUUAAAGAAUAUAUUAGAAAGAAUAAGCAUGCCCUUUUGACACGAGAUUGCAAGUAUU